AACGAACGCUGACGGCGUGCCUAACACAUGCAAGUCGAACGAGAAAGUCCCGGCUUGCCGGGAUGAGUAGAGUGGCGCACGGGUGAGUAACGCGUGGGUAAUCUGCCUUUAAGUUUGGGAUAACACUGCGAAAGCGGUACUAAUACCGGAUAUGCUCACAGUUUGAGAUGUCUGUGGGAAAAGGUGGCCUCUGACAUAAGCUACCGCUUAAAGAUGAGCCCGCGUACCAUUAGCUUGUUGGUGGGGUAAAAGCCUACCAAGGCUACGAUGGUUAGCUGGCCUGAGAGGGCGGCCAGCCACACUGGAACUGAGACACGGUCCAGACUCCUACGGGAGGCAGCAGUGGGGAAUAUUGCGCAAUGGGGGAAACCCUGACGCAGCGACGCCGUGUGAGUGAUGAAGGCUUUCGGGUCGUAAAGCUCUGUCGGAUGGGACGAAUAAGGACUGUGUGAAUAAUGCAGUCCGAUGACGGUACCGUCGAAGGAAGCACCGGCUAACUCCGUGCCAGCAGCCGCGGUAAUACGGAGGGUGCAAGCGUUGUUCGGAAUUAUUGGGCGUAAAGAACGUGUAGGCGGGCCUGUGUGUCAGAUGUGAAAGCCCUCGGCUCAACCGAGGAAGUGCAUCUGAAACUGCUGGUCUUGAGUACGAGAGAGGAGAGUGGAAUUCCCAGUGUAGAGGUGAAAUUCAUAGAUAUUGGGAAGAACACCGGCGGCGAAAGCGGCUCUCUGGCUCGAUACUGACGCUGAGACGUGAAAGCGUGGGUAGCAAACAGGAUUAGAUACCCUGGUAGUCCACGCCGUAAACGAUGUGCACUAGGUGUUGGGGGUAAUAAAACCCUCAGUGCCGCAGCUAACGCAUUAAGUGCACCGCCUGGGGAUUACGGUCGCAAGAUUAAAACUCAAAGGAAUUGACGGGGGCCCGCACAAGCGGUGGAGUAUGUGGUUUAAUUCGACGCAACGCGCAUAACCUUACCUGGGCUUGACAUCCCGAUCGUACUUCCUGGAAACAGGAGGGUCAGCUCGGCUGGAUCGGUGACAGGUGCUGCAUGGCUGUCGUCAGCUCGUGUCGUGAGAU
rnacentral:rRNA from 1 species